rnacentral:rRNA from 1 species
AGAACGAACGCUGGCGGCAGGCUUAACACAUGCAAGUCGAACGCCCGUAGCAAUACGGGAGUGGCAGACGGGUGAGUAACGCGUGGGAACGUACCCUUCGGUUCGGAAUAACUCGGGGAAACUCGUGCUAAUACCGGAUACGUCCGCAAGGAGAAAGAUUUAUCGCCGAAGGAUCGGCCCGCGUCGGAUUAGCUAGUUGGCGGGGUAAUGGCCCACCAAGGCAACGAUCCGUAGCUGGUCUGAGAGGAUGAUCAGCCACACUGGGACUGAGACACGGCCCAGACUCCUACGGGAGGCAGCAGUGGGGAAUAUUGGACAAUGGGCGCAAGCCUGAUCCAGCCAUGCCGCGUGAGUGAAGAAGGCCUUAGGGUUGUAAAGCUCUUUCAGCGGGGAAGAUAAAUGACGGUACCCGCAGAAGAAGCCCCGGCUAACUUCGUGCCAGCAGCCGC